CACCACCCCUUUCUCAACUUCAUAUCCCUCAUCUCCAGUACCACCCCUUUCUCAACUUCAUAUUCCUCACCUCCAGCACCACCCCAAAAUUGCACAUUUCUGUAGUCAGAAAGAUAGUUUCCAAUUAGUACACAAUUAAUUGGAAAUUGGCAAUACUUCCUCAUAAUUGGUUAAAAUCACGAUGCACACCGAUGAUGUCACUGGAAACAUUUCACUUCCAUCUUUUUUUUACUACAAAAAAUAGAAACGUGACAUUUUCACAUAUGUUGAUGUUGGGGUGGUGCUGGAGAUGAUGAAUAUGAAGCUGAAAAUGUUACAAAUAUCCCUUUAAAGAAUUUCACAUCAGAACCAUUAGAGCCACAGGAGGCACAUGCAGUCGCUUUCUCAAGAUCAAAUCACCUCAGACCAGAGCAGAGCUUUGAACGGAAAAUUACACAUAAUUCUUAAAGAUGAAAGAAAAUAAUGAACCCCUCUUCCUCACCAAUAACAAUGCUCUGGUUUGUUCUAUUUUUAGAUUUGAAUGUUCACGCUGUGGACAACACCGUCUGACUGGGUAUAAACCAAACUGUAAUCUCCACUAGCCUGGGGGAGCCUGUCUUCUCGUCUUUCCUAUUUAUUCCCUUGUUGAUUUAGUUUAAGAAAGAAUGCGCUGUGGGAGAGAAAACUCUGUCUGGAUGUAAUAUUUUGCUUGUGGCGAGUCUUCUCUUUCUUCAUGGAAGAAAACUAUUAAAAUAUUGUGCUGACAAAAACCACAAUGACAAAUGAAGAUGAGUGAUGUUGAUCUCCCCAGCCUCCCUAACGGUCUGUCUGGAGAAAGACUGAGGGAGGAGAGAGAGGAAGGAGAAGGACAGAAAGAGGAAAGAGUGAGAGAGGAGCGGGUGAGAGAGUCAAAGAAAGAGUCGAAGAAAGAGAGUGGGAUAGAGGUGCAGGAGAAAGAGGGAGACAAGAGACAGACUUCGACAGAGCGAGAGAGAGAGAGAUUCAGAUGAUGAGGAACAGACGUGGUUAAUGAGAGUCACAGGUCAUCAUGCUGCUCCGCCAACACAGAGAGAACCAGAGACAGAGAUGUCUUCUUCAGACACUGAACAGAUUGAGCCUGAUCUGAUCUUCAUGCGUCACUAGUUUUUACACAGGAGACAAAUGAAGAUGGGAGGAGGGAGGUGGAGGGAUGAAAGAGAGAGAGAGGGGGGGAAAAGAGGGAUGAUGGAGGGAUCUUAACAUCACUUAGGAGAGAAAGAGAGAGAGGGGGGGAUGAUGGAGGGAUCUUAACAUCACUUAGGAGAGAAAGAGAGAGAGGGGGGUACAGAUAGAGGGAUGAUGGAGGGAUCUUAACAUCACUUAGGAGAGAAAGAGAAAGGGGGGGGGGGGUGCAGAUAGAGGGAUGAUGGAGGGAUCUUAACAUCACUUAGGAGAGAAAGAGAGAGGGGGUGCAGAUAGAGGGAUCUUAACAUCACUUAGGAGAGAAAGAGAGAGGGGGUGCAGAUAGAGGGAUGAUGGAGGGAUCUUAACAUCACUUAGGAGAGAAAGAGAGAGAGGGGGUGCAGAUAGAGGGAUGAUGGAGGGAUCUUAACAUCACUUAGGAGAGAAAGAGAGAGAGAGGGGGGUGCAGAUAGAGGGAUGAUGGAGGGAUCUUAACAUCACUUAGGAGAGAAAGAGAGAGGGGGUGCAGAUAGAGUGAUGAUGGAGGAUCAAAAUGGCAGUCAGGAGAAAGAGGGAAAGGCACCUGAGUUAGACAGGGUCCUGGGAAGGGUGCCAUGUGGUCUGAGGGAGGAGGGGGGCCAGCCUGAGCCUGAUCUGAUCCCACAGGCAACACCUAAUAAACAGAGGGAUGAAGAGAGGGAUGAAACAGAGAGAAGAGGAGAGAUAGGAGAACAUAAUGCACUGCAGCCACAUGCAGCUGGAAGGACAGGGGAUUCUACCUGCUGCUCUCUGACACUGACUGGGACAUUAGACAAUAAACAAAGACUGUAGUGUUACUUAAGAAAUAAGGCCCGAGGAGGUGUGGUAUAUGGCCAAUAUACCAAGCGUAAGAACUAUUCUUAUGCACGAUGCAACGUGGAGUGCCUGGAUACAGCCGUUAGCCAUGGUAUAUUGGCCAUAUAGCACCUUUGGGCUCCUGAGUGGCGCAGCGGUCAAAGGCACUGCAUCUCAGCGCUUGAGGCGUCACUACAGACGCCCUGGUUCGAUUCCAGGCUGUACCACAAAUGGUCGUGAUUGGGAGUCCCAUAGGGUGGCGCACAAUUGGCCCAGCGUCGUCCAGGUUUGGCCGGUGUAGGCCGUCAUUGUAAAUAAGAAUUUGUUCUUAACUGACUUGCCUAGUUCAAUAAAGGUUAAAUAAAUACUAAUGUACCACGAACCUCCAGGGUGCCUAAUUGCUAUUAUAAACUGGGUGGGUCGAGCCCUGAAUGCUGAUUGGCUGACAGCCGUGGUAUAUCAGACCGUAUAACACGGGUAUGACAAAACAUUUUUACUCCUCUAAUUACAUUGGUAACUGGUUUAUAAUAGCAGUAAGGCACGCUGGGGGUUAUCAUGGCAAAG
ensembl:lncRNA